rnacentral:rRNA from 1 species
AGGGUUCGAUUCUGGCUCAGGAUGAACGCUAGCUACAGGCUUAACACAUGCAAGUCGCGGGGCAGCAUGGUCUUAGCUUGCUAAGACUGAUGGCGACCGGCGCACGGGUGAGUAACGCGUAUCCAACCUUCCCCUUAGUAGGGCAUAGCCCGGCGAAAGUCGGAUUAAUACCCUAUGUUCUUCGUAGAUGGCAUCUGAGACGAAGCAAAGGUUAGCGCUAAGGGAUGGGGAUGCGUCUGAUUAGGCAGUCGGCGGGGUAACGGCCCACCGAGCCAUCGAUCAGUAGGGGUUCUGAGAGGAAGGUCCCCCACAUUGGAACUGAGACACGGUCCAAACUCCUACGGGAGGCAGCAGUGAGGAAUAUUGGUCAAUGGGCGAGAGCCUGAACCAGCCAAGUAAGCGUGCAGGACGACGGCCCUACGGGUUGUAAACUGCUUUUAUGCGGGGAUAAAGUGCCCUACGUGUAGGGUAUUGCAGGUACCGCAUGAAUAAGGACCGGCUAAUUCCGUGCCAGCCGCGGC